AUUGUUGGAUAGGCUCAGUUCCGGGAGAGGCUGGAGCUCAUAACCCAGAAGUUCCAGGGGUUGCAGAGUGCGGCAGAAUGCGGUGCGCUCCAGGCGGAUGUCUACCGGGGACUGAAAGCGGCCAGCACAGGCUGGGGACACCUGGGGCCAGAGUAGGGUGCCUGGGAUGAGAGGAAAAGUUCCUGGCUUAGAGCCAAGCACGGUGGCGCACACACCUGAAAUCCCAGAACUCGGAGGAAGAAGAAGGUAAAGGGCAGAACUAGUUCAAGGCCAAUCCGAUCUACACAAUAAGACCUUAUCUCAUCCUCCGCCCCCAGAGCAAACCAAAGUUCCUCCACCUGUCUUUUCCCACACCGCAAAUCAUAGGUGAGUAACGGCUGUGAGCUCCUUGUGUGUCUUCCAGGAGCCCCCUUCUCUUCCCUUUUCAUCUCUCUGUCUCUGUCUCUCUGUGUCUGUCUCUGUCUGUCUGUCUCUCAUUCUCUCUACCUCCCUCUCUUCACACACACACACACACACACACACACACACACUUAUUUUCCCCCUCUGUCCAUUCCCAGUUCUAUUUCCUCUUUAAUUUCCCCCUAUUCUCGGCUUUUUUUUUCUUCUCUCCUUUUAGGGGGGAAAGACUACCUAUUAGAGUAUAAUUGCCGAAUGCUCUCAGCUAGCAUUUCGGGGAAGAGAGGGGAGUGGGGGAGGACAAGGCAUAAACUUACCUGAGCCUAGAUUUGGAAGUUAAUGACCACUUACCUUUUUCAUCCCCGUGGGAACCUUGACUGUGCUCAGGAGCCUCGGGAGUCGAUAGAUCCUCUAACCCAAGGGACUCCUCCAUCCUGUCUUCAGAAUUAACUUCAGGUGGAUCCUCCCCAUCGGGUGGAUCCGCCUCUUCAGGUGCAUCCUCUUCACUGGGCAGAACAUCCACGCCCAGCUCAUCCUCCCCAGAUGAACUGUCUCCCAAGGAGGGCUCCCCCUGCAUCCCGGACAGGCCCUGGGGCUGAGCAGACACUUGGAGCAGCAGGAACAGCAGCAGCUGUGCAGUAGGGGCUGGGGUCGACAAAGGGGCCCAGGGGCUGGGGCCCAGGGAGGCCAUGCAGCUGACUGGGGUGUCCCAGGACACACUGUGGACGGGCUGUACGUGCAUCGGAAAUAGGAGCUGGGUAGGGGAGGAGCAAGCCUUGAGGGGAGCAGGCUGACUCACAGUGCCCUUUUGUAGAGAUGGAGCCAAAGUCCCACAGGUUCUGUCUGGCCCUAUGCCCCCUCCCCGAUAUCAAAGCCUGGACAUUGGUGCGGUAAUGGGUAGGGUUGGGGUGAGGGGCAGGUGUGUUCAUAGGCAGAAAGAAGGUUAUCAGGAUCACCAGCUCAGCUUGGAACCCAAGGCACCACCUGGCACUGUAUAGGUUCUCCCUGGCACCACCCAGCUCCUGGCCUCUGCUAGGCCUGGCCUGCUUCCCGGCCCUGGCAGGGCAGGGGAAAGAAGGAAGCUGGGCCCCCGUGGAGUUGGGCUGAGGAGGCAAGAAAUCCAUGCAUGUAUCCUGGCCCAGUCAGGUCUUGGGUAAGGGGGCAGGUUAAGACCCUGGAGGAGCCUAGGGGUGAAUAGGUGGAGGGGCUCACAGCUAAGUAGAAGGCAAAUUUGAGCAUGAUUAUUUGAAUCUACAUAUGAGACUCUAAUGGUUACCCCCCCCCCCCCACUGCCUGCCAAAGUCUGAUCAUUUUAUUUCCCGACUUCCAGGUCUUCAAAACCUCACCCAAGAAACCAGUCUUGUCUCUUGCUCUUCCACCUAAUGUUCUGGUCAGAUAAUUUGUGUGUGUGUGCUCCUGCGCGCAUGCACUUUUUUGCUUUGUUUGUUUGUUUCUUUUUCAGUGCUGGAGACUGACUCCAGGGGGCCAUGGGUGCCAUGCAAGCACUCUUUCACUUGAGCUUUGCUCCCAGAGCUAAACUAUUCAUUCGUCUCUCCAAACUCUGCACUGCCUUUGUGAAUCUCCGUCUUGUUGCCCAGAAUGCCAUUCAUGUUUGCACGCCGUAUUUGUUUAAUACCUACGGUAUGUUAGGCACUGGGCUGUGGACUAGGGAUGCGGAAAUGAAAACGAAGGCUCCUAUCUGAGAAGCUCUCGCUCCAGCGAGUGAGGACAGAUGUCAUAAUUCUGCCUCAAGGAACUAUGGAUGUGGGUAAAAUCUGUUCCCAUCUUUGAAGCAGAGGUAGAAGCCCCACGGGGAGGGGUUGGUUAAUAAUCACAGUAAAGAGAUUGGAAUUCUGGACAAAGAAGAGACAUGGACCAUUUUGAAUAGAGACUGGUCAGAUGGCUUAGUGGGUAAAGACACUUGCCACCGAAUCUGAUGAUCUGAGGUGGAACCCCAAAAUCGACAUGGUGGAAAGAGAGAACCAUCUACUACAAGUUGCCCUCUGCCCCCUGUGUGUGCCAUGGCACAUGCAUGUGCACACACACACACAUACACCAAAUAGAUGUAAAAUAAAGUCUUUUGAAGAGCGUGA
rnacentral:lncRNA from 1 species